rnacentral:rRNA from 1 species
UACGAAGGGGGCGAGCGUUGUUCGGAAUCACUGGGCGUAAAGGGCGCGUAGGCGGCCCUUCUUGUCGCGUGUGAAAGCCCCGGGCUCAACCUGGGAAUGGCGCGCGAGACGGGGGGGCUGGAGUUCGGGAGAGGAGCGUGGAAUUCCCAGUGUAGAGGUGAAAUGCGUAGAUAUCUGGAGGAACACCGGUGGCGAAGGCGGCAUCCUGGACCGGCAUUGACGCUAAAGCGCGAAAGCCAGGGGAGCAAACGGG